GACGAACGCUGGCGGCGUGCUUAACACAUGCAAGUCGAACGGAAAGGCCCUGCUUUUGCGGGGUGCUCGAGUGGCGAACGGGUGAGUAACACGUGAGUAACCUGCCCUUGACUUUGGGAUAACUUCAGGAAACUGGGGCUAAUACCGGCUAGGAGCUCCUGCUGCAUGGUGGGGGUUGGAAAGUUUCGGCGGUUGGGGAUGGACUCGCGGCUUAUCAGCUUGUUGGUGGGGUAGUGGCUUACCAAGGCUUUGACGGGUAGCCGGCCUGAGAGGGUGACCGGCCACAUGGGGACUGAGAUACGGCCCAGACUCCUACGGGAGGCAGCAGUGGGGAAUAUUGCACAAUGGGCGGAAGCCUGAUGCAGCAACGCCGCGUGCGGGAUGACGGCCUUCGGGUUGUAAACCGCUUUCGCCUGUGACGAAGCGUGAGUGACGGUAAUGGGUAAAGAAGCACCGGCUAACUACGUG
rnacentral:rRNA from 1 species